UACGAAGGGUGCAAGCGUUGCUCGGAAUUAUUAAACAUAAAGGGUUGGUAGGUGGUCUUGUUUGUCUAAGGUGAAAUCCCAUGGCUUAACUGUGGAAGUGCCUUAGAAACGGCAAGACUAGAGUCCUAGAGGGGUUUGUGGAAUUCCCGGUGUAGCGGUGAAAUGCGUAGAGAUCGGGAGGAACACCAGCGGCGAAGGCGGCAAACUGGAUAGGCACUGACACUCAACAACGAAAGCGUGGGGAGCAAACAGG
rnacentral:rRNA from 1 species